GCCGGGCAUGGUGGUGCGUGCCUGUAAUCCCAGCUACUCAGGAGGCUGAGGCAGGAGAAUCUCUUGAGCCCAGGAGGCAGAGGUGGCAGUGAGCCAAGAUCGCUGCACUCCAGCCUGGGUGACAGAGCGAGACUCUGUCUCAA
rnacentral:SRP_RNA from 1 species